rnacentral:lncRNA from 1 species
AGUGUUACAUGUGUAAGGGUGCAAUGGUUAUAUGUUGAGGACGUCGUCGUUUUCAUGGUAUAAGAGAGAGAAGAACAUUGCAUAUUGAUGGUCUCAGAUAUUUCUAAAGUUUUUUAAAAAUGGAAAUUAUUCCAUAAUUUUCUGUGGUAUGCACUCUUGGCGUGUAUUAUAUUUGUGUCAAACUUUUAUGCCAAACCUUGGUUUUAUAUUAUUAUCGUAGUUAUUUAUGUGAGCUUUCUUUUUCCCUUUAAACCAAAUAAGAUAUAAAUAAUUGUGCUUAACUUAUUGGUGAUUUGUCCUUCUGGCAUGACCAAUAAAAUAAACCAUCGAUCGGCUGUUAGCUUUCUAGCCA